rnacentral:rRNA from 1 species
UACGUAGGGUGCGAGCGUUGUCCGGAAUUAUUGGGCGUAAAGAGCUUGUAGGCGGUUUGUCGCGUCUGCUGUGAAAACCUGAGGCUCAACCUCAGGCCUGCAGUCGAUACGGGCGGACUUGAGUACUGCAGGGGAGACUGGAAUUCCUGGUGUAGCGGUGAAAUGCGCAGAUAUCAGGAGGAACACCGGUGGCGAAGGCGGGUCUCUGGGCAGUAACUGACGCUGGAGGAGCGAAAGCGUGGGGAGCAAACAGG